GACGAACGCUGGCGGCGUGCUUAACACAUGCAAGUCGAACGGAAAGGCCCUGCUUUUGUGGGGUGCUCGAGUGGCGAACGGGUGAGUAACACGUGAGUAACCUGCCCUUGACUUUGGGAUAACUUCAGGAAACUGGGGCUAAUACCGGAUAGGAGCUCCUGCUGCAUGGUGGGGGUUGGAAAGUUUCGGCGGUUGGGGAUGGACUCGCGGCUUAUCAGCUUGUUGGUGGGGUAGUGGCUUACCAAGGCUUUGACGGGUAGCCGGCCUGAGAGGGUGACCGGCCACAUGGGGACUGAGAUACGGCCCAGACUCCUACGAGAGGCAGCAGUGGGGAAUAUUGCACAAUGGGCGGAAGCCUGAUGCAGCAACGCCGCGUGCGGGAGGACGGCCUUCGGGUGGUAAACCGCUUUCGCCUGUGACGAAGCGUGAGUGACGGUAAUGGGUAAAGAAGCACCGGCUAACUACGU
rnacentral:rRNA from 1 species